rnacentral:rRNA from 1 species
AUACAGAGGGUGCAAGCGUUAUUCGGAAUUACUGGGCGUAAAGCGCGCGUAGGCGGAUGAUUAAGUCAGUUGUGAAAGCCCUGGGCUCAACCUAGGAACUGCAUCUGAUACUGGUCGUCUAGAGUUUAAGAGAGGGAAGUGGAAUUCCAGGUGUAGCAGUGAAAUGCGUAGAUAUCUGGAGGAACAUCAGUGGCGAAGGCGACUUCCUGGCUUAAAACUGACGCUGAGGUGCGAAAGCGUGGGUCGCGAACGGGAUUAGAAACCCGAGUAGUCC